AAAAGGCAAUGGGGACAUGUUGUAAAGUGCCUUGAUGCUGGAACAAUUGCACUCUGGAAACAUUCUCUUGGCUGGUUGAGUAUGACCACAGCCACAGCUCAGCUCACUCUACAAACAGAAUUAGUCAUGGAGUAUAUGUUGAACAGCAUUCUGUAGAGCUUUCUUGUUCAGACUCAGUGCAUGAUGUCACAGUGGACCUUCACACUUUGGAAUGAUACUGCUGCAGAACAGUAGAAUUGAAUCACAUUGAGCAUUUUAUACUGGCAGUUAUUAUGAUCAUUUUAAACAUGAUGUUUGAUUCAAACCUUAUGUUCAACCAGCUUUCACGAAAGUAAAAGAAAAUGCCUGAGGGCCAGCAGAUGUUGAAGGAUGUAUAAUCCAGGACAAUAACCUUAGAAGCCAUGUACCUCGGACACACACCGCAGUUUCCUGAAGGCACGGAGUAGGACUUGAUCCUGUGGAGUGAGAGUGGGAGAGGAGGCAAGACGUUUUCCAGUUGGUACUGUUCUUCCUGGAUCCAGACACGAAGCUUCCGUUGUGGCCAUGGCUGUGGAGUGGUCCCGGCCUCCUGCCCCUGCUGGCGCUUCUAGAGGCAGUCUCAUAAUGUUCUCUCAGGGACACCAGCUACAACCAGCCCAAGUCCUUUCCUUACAGUACCAGAUCCGGGGUACCUCCUGCUCUCUCCUAGUUUUCAUUUGUCUUUAUCCUUUCCCUUUGUUCCCUGGGUCUCAGAUUUGUGACUGAUUUCUGAGUUAACUCUGUGCUCAGUCCUCUAACACCCAUGAAGCCAGUCCUCUCCAUUAAAAUCUCUAUGUUGAAAAU